rnacentral:rRNA from 1 species
CGGACGGGUGAGUAACGCGUGGGUAACCUGCCUUGUACUGGGGGACAACAGUUAGAAAUGACUGCUAAUACCGCAUAAGCGCACAGUAUCGCAUGAUACAGUGUGAAAAACUCCGGUGGUACAAGAUGGACCCGCGUCUGAUUAGCUAGUUGGUAAGGUAACGGCUUACCAAGGCGACGAUCAGUAGCCGACCUGAGAGGGUGACCGGCCACAUUGGGACUGAGACACGGCCCAA